AUCAGUUGGAAACACACACAGGAAUUCCGGCUUGGGAAUGACCAUCAAGUUCCUGGCCACUACAGGAAGGUGUGCAUAAAAAGCACUUCCAAAGCGGGCAGCCUGUACCAUUCAGCGAGGGAACACAAGGGAAGUAAACAUUUGUAUAUAUUGAUGAAACCAAAAUUGGGAGAUGGCCUAGAUGAUAGGCCUAAAGUCAGUCAAUUGAGUAGAGGUGAUGUGGCAGCUGCAACCACGGAGUCUCAAGACGCUUGGCAUUGUGUUCUCUAUUCUAUGAUGGAAGCUAACCUUACCUCUAACCUCAAACUGGAGUCCUGCAGUAUUUCAAAGUGGGAUGGGAUUGUUGACUCCUCUAAACCAGACGAAACCUUGGAUUUCGUCCCACAGAAAAACAGAAGAUAAAGAGUAUCUGCCUGCUUUACGGUUCAUUAUUACUUUUGGUACGCGCUAGGCCAGUCUCAAACUCGUACCGUGAGUAAUAAUGCACUGUGGCUGUCAUUGCCAACGAGGGACAGACCACACCACCAUGUCUUACUUUCACUGUUCUCCAUAUUCCUAUGCAUCUCAUUGUGUGAUGCAUUCAUGAAAACAGUGUUUGAAACUCUAAGGCCUUGUGUGGGGAAAGACAGCAUUUUAAUAUAAUCCUUUUUCUACUUUCAUAAAGAAACAGACUAUUCAUUUUACUUAAAUAUUAUUGUUGAGUUGUUUACAUGAAAUGUUGACUUUUCUGUACCUUGUAAUAGUGAUUGUAAGCAAUUGAAUAAUAAAAAUGUCAAUAUAGAUUAGCCAAUAGCAUUGUAGGCCUUGUGCAUCAAGGCUUCAGUUGAAAUACCCCAACAUUGAGCUUUGUUUGUGAUCUGAGCACCACAAUAAUUGCUUUGCCUUUACACUGAUUGGUGACUUCUAAGUAACCCCCCCCCCACACACACACACACACACACACACACACACCAAGGCCUACAAUGCUGGUACAUUACUUACUGUGAUAUGUGGUUGUCUCAAUAUCUUGAAGUAACUGGCCUGUGAAAAUUUCACUUUAAAAAGUACAUAUUCUGGUAACUCAUAUCCAAAUAAUGUUGUUGAUUCAUACUAUACUCGUACUUUUGGCCAAAGCAUAAAUUGGAGUACUAGCACUUCAAAAACCCCACCUCAAUCUUGUAGCAAACGGACUGUUUCAAAAAUGCUUGUUAUUUCCUCAUAGAGGAUGAUGGCCAAUCAGCAGUCUAGAGGAGGAUGAGCUGGCCAGUCAAUGGUCUACUUGAAUUCAUAUUUUGAAUGACCAGUAUACACCCACACCCUUCUGUUGUUGGGGUAUGCCAACACCGUUCCAAUGCAGAAAAGCUGCUUUUUAACCUUCUCAAUAAAAACAAUUUUGAAGGAAAAAUAUUUUACUCAUAUCGUAAGUAAUUAUAGGUCAUUUUCCAUAGAAAUCUGAAAACAUUUGUCAGUUGCUUUAAGAUGACUGCGUUAUUAAGUCACUCUGGAGGAUCAGAGCAUCUGCUAAAUGCCUAAAAUGUUAUACAGAGCUGCAGAAUAAAUUCCCUGAGCCUUGUGACUGUUAUAUUUAUUUUGAUUGCGUAUGUCUAUU